rnacentral:rRNA from 1 species
UACGUAGGGGGCAAGCGUUGUCCGGAUUUACUGGGCGUAAAGCGCACGUAGGCGGCUUUCUAAGUCGGGGGUGAAAUCCUGGAGCUCAACUCCAGAACUGCCUUCGAUACUGGAGAGCUCGAGUCCGGGAGAGGUGAGUGGAACUGCGAGUGUAGAGGUGAAAUUCGUAGAUAUUCGCAAGAACACCAGUGGCGAAGGCGGCUCACUGGCCCGGUACUGACGCUGAGGUGCGAAAGCGUGGGUAGCAAACAGG